CUGGACGAACGACCAAAGAGCAAAUGAUAUUUGAUUUUUUCCCGGUCAAACAGAAACGAGCUGAGCCAUUCGCUGUUCUUUUCGAUAGCCGAUAUUGUAGGCUUUGGGAAUAUUCAUGUCAUAUUGUUUAUUAUUGAAUCUACAUUAGUUUAAUUUGUUUUAAUACAAAUUCUGCUACUCAUCGUAAAUAUAAUAUUUUAAGUAUCGAUAUAUGGCAUUAAUGAGUUCAUGCUGUUAUUGGAAAUAAGAAGUGAAACCGCGUUAUGGGAGUGCUGCCAGAUCAAUUAAUAACAGCCGUUAGAAUUUAAAUUCUGAAA